GAGUUUGAUCAUGGCCAGGACGAACGCUGGCGGCGUGCUUAACACAUGCAAGUCGAGCGGUAAGGCCCUUCGGGGUACACGAGCGGCGAACGGGUGAGUAACACGUGGGUAACCUGCCCUGUACUCUGGGAUAAGCCUUGGAAACGAGGUCUAAUACCGGAUACGACACUGAAUCGCAUGAUUCGGUGUGGAAAGUUCCGGCGGUAUGGGAUGGACCCGCGGCCUAUCAGCUUGUUGGUGGGGUAAUGGCCUACCAAGGCGACGACGGGUAGCCGGCCUGAGAGGGUGACCGGCCACACUGGGACUGAGACACGGCCCAGACUCCUACGGGAGGCAGCAGUGGGGAAUAUUGCACAAUGGGCGAAAGCCUGAUGCAGCGACGCCGCGUGAGGGAUGACGGCCUUCGGGUUGUAAACCUCUUUCAGCAGGGACGAAGCGCAAGUGACGGUACCUGCAGAAGAAGCACCGGGUAACUACGUGCCAGCAGCGCGG
rnacentral:rRNA from 1 species